rnacentral:rRNA from 1 species
AGCGAACGCUGGCGGCAGGCCUAACACAUGCAAGUCGAACGGACCCUUCGGGGUUAGUGGCGGACGGGUGAGUAACACGUGGGAACGUGCCUUUAGGUUCGGAAUAGCUCCUGGAAACGGGUGGUAAUGCCGAAUGUGCCCCUCGGGGGAAGGAUUUAUCGCCUUUAGAGCGGCCCGCGUCUGAUUAGCUAGUUGGUGAGGUAAUGGCUCACCAAGGCGACGAUCAGUAGCUGGUCUGAGAGGAUGACCAGCCACAUUGGGACUGAGACACGGCCCAAACUCCUACGGGAGGCAGCAGUGGGGAAUCUUGCGCAAUGGGCGAAAGCCUGACGCAGCCAUGCCGCGUGGAUGAUGAAGGCCUUAGGAUUGUAAAAUCCUUUCACCGGUGAAGAUAAUGACUGUAGCCGGAGAAGAAGCCCCGGCUAACUUCGUGCCAGCCGCCGCAGUAA